rnacentral:ncRNA from 1 species
UAAAAGUGGAGCAGAACCCACUAAAAAAAACGAGGCGGUCUCUGAAAAGCCAUAAGAGUAAGAAAAAU